rnacentral:lncRNA from 1 species
GCUGACUCUCUUUUCGGACUCAGCCCGCGUGCACCCAGAUGAAGAAACUGAGGUCCAGAGAAGUUAAACGACCUUCCUAAGAUUACACAGCUUAACUUGCUGAGCACCUUCUAGGUGCCAGAUGCGGUGCUGGCUCCUGGGGACAUGGGAGUGAACAGGCCAGGCGUGGCCCUGAACCAUCAAAUAGACAACCACAGAAAUAACAACGAAUGAUGCUGGAGGCUGACGAAGAUAAGGGUGGAAAGUGGGCAAUAAAUCAGGAGCUGUUGCAACAUUCCCAGCAAAGGAUAAUGGUGAAUAACAAAGACAAAACCGGGCCCUUCCACACAGUAGCUGGAACACAAAGGAAGAUCAGCCAAGCCUCAACAUAAUCUCAUAAAAAUUCUUCAAAUAUCCCAUUGUUAUGGAUUCAUACAUCAGGAAAGCAGAUGCCAAGAACCUGAACACCUUCUACUGGUAACAUAUAUUUUGGCGAGCCAGCCUGGAGACAAGACCACUAUGGGCAACUUCCUGUCUAUUCUACCUGGUGUCACUGUGGACAACUUCCUAUCUAUUCCACCCGAUUCACCGCUUGGCUACAUCCUCCACCAUUGGGAUGAAUUUGACCCUAACAAUCUAAAGAAAAGGCAUAUGAUUUUUUACUG